rnacentral:rRNA from 1 species
AGUCUAACACGUGCGCGAGUCGAAGGGUUGGCUAUAAGACCCCAAGGCGAAGCGAAAGCGAGAAGUCGAGAGAGAUUUCCGGAACCUUUCGAGGCGAGGCGCCAUGCGCGGCGGCAGGCGGUAGCCCAAAAAGCAAAAAACGCCGGCCUGCGUCUGCUCGCGUGUCCUCGACCGGUUCUCUCGGUGAAAAACGAUUGUACACGGAUCGAAAGAAAUUCGGCUUUCUCGAGGGAAGAUGGAGAAAUUGUGCUGUGGAUGCCUCUCCCGCACUCCCGGGGCGAUCUCGGACUCCGGUCCGCAAGGUCGCACCUUAGAGCGCACGUGUUGGGACCCGAAAGAUGGUGAACUAUGCCCGGUCAGGACGAAGUCAGGGGAAACCCUGAUGGAGGUCCGCAGCGAUUCUGACGUGCAAAUCGAUCGUCAGAGCUGGGUAUAGGGGCGAAAGACUAAUCGAACCGUCUAGUAGCUGGUUCCUUCCGAAGUUUCUCUCAGGAUAGCUGGCGCCCCGGUCGGAAGUGCAGAACGAGUCUCAUGACGGUAAAGCGAAUGAUUAGAGGCCUUGGGGCCGAAACGACCUCAACCUAUUCUCAAACUUUAAAUGGGUGAGAACCCCGGCUUGCUCGAUCAAAAAGAUUCCUUUUUGCGGUCUUAUGUGAAGCUCGGGGAAAAGAUGGAAUUGUGGAAAAAGAGAGAGCUCUUUCGUGCAUUUCCCGUGGAUCGGGGUGCCUAGUGGGCCAUUUUG